rnacentral:rRNA from 1 species
UAUGGAGGGUGCAAGCGUUAUCCGGAUUCACUGGGUUUAAAGGGUGCGUAGGCGGGCAGAUAAGUCAGUGGUGAAAUCCCCGAGCUUAACUUGGGAACUGCCAUUGAUACUAUUUGUCUUGAAUGUCGUGGAGGUUAGCGGAAUAUGUCAUGUAGCGGUGAAAUGCUUAGAUAUGACAUAGAACACCCAUUGCGAAGGCAGCUAACUACGCGAAUAUUGACGCUGAGGCGCGAAAGCGUGGGGAUCAAACAGG